ACUUAAAUAGCUUAUAUAAAGAGCGUGACAUUGAAGAUGUUAAGGAAAUAAUAUUUAUUUUUAAGUA
rnacentral:tRNA from 1 species